UUUACGGAGAGUUUGAUCCUGGCUCAGGAUGAACGCUGGCGGCGUGCUUAACACAUGCAAGUCGAACGGUGAAGCAGAGCUUGCUCUGUGGAUCAGUGGCGAACGGGUGAGUAACACGUGAGCAAUCUGCCCCGGACUCUGGGAUAACAGUUGGAAACAGCUGCUAAUACUGGAUACGAGCUAGGGAGGCAUCUCCACUAGCUGGAAAGAAUUUCGGUCUGGGAUGAGCUCGCGGCCUAUCAGCUUGUUGGUGAGGUAAUGGCUCACCAAGGCGUCGACGGGUAGCCGGCCUGAGAGGGUGACCGGCCACACUGGGACUGAGACACGGCCCAGACUCCUACGGGAGGCAGCAGUGGGGAAUAUUGCACAAUGGGCGAAAGCCUGAUGCAGCAACGCCGCGUGAGGGAUGACGGCCUUCGGGUUGUAAACCUCUUUUAGCAGGGAAGAAGCGAGAGUGACGGUACCUGCAGAAAAAGCGCCGGCUAACUACGUGCCAGCAGCCGCGGUAAUACGUAGGGCGCAAGCGUUAUCCGGAAUUAUUGGGCGUAAAGAGCUCGUAGGCGGUUUGUCGCGUCUGCUGUGAAAUCCCGAGGCUCAACCUCGGGCCUGCAGUGGGUACGGGCAGACUAGAGUGCGGUAGGGGAGAUUGGAAUUCCUGGUGUAGCGGUGGAAUGCGCAGAUAUCAGGAGGAACACCGAUGGCGAAGGCAGAUCUCUGGGCCGUAACUGACGCUGAGGAGCGAAAGGGUGGGGAGCAAACAGGCUUAGAUACCCUGGUAGUCCACCCCGUAAACGUUGGGAACUAGUUGUGGGGUCCAUUCCACGGAUUCCGUGACGCAGCUAACGCAUUAAGUUCCCCGCCUGGGGAGUACGGCCGCAAGGCUAAAACUCAAAGGAAUUGACGGGGACCCGCACAAGCGGCGGAGCAUGCGGAUUAAUUCGAUGCAACGCGAAGAACCUUACCAAGGCUUGACAUACACGAGAACACCGUAGAAAUACGGGACUCUUUGGACACUCGUGAACAGGUGGUGCAUGGUUGUCGUCAGCUCGUGUCGUGAGAUGUUGGGUUAAGUCCCGCAACGAGCGCAACCCUCGUUCUAUGUUGCCAGCACGUAAUGGUGGGAACUCAUGGGAUACUGCCGGGGUCAACUCGGAGGAAGGUGGGGAUGACGUCAAAUCAUCAUGCCCCUUAUGUCUUGGGCUUCACGCAUGCUACAAUGGCCGGUACAAAGGGCUGCAAUACCGCGAGGUGGAGCGAAUCCCAAAAAGCCGGUCCCAGUUCGGAUUGAGGUCUGCAACUCGACCUCAUGAAGUCGGAGUCGCUAGUAAUCGCAGAUCAGCAACGCUGCGGUGAAUACGUUCCCGGGUCUUGUACACACCGCCCGUCAAGUCAUGAAAGUCGGUAACACCUGAAGCCGGUGGCCUAACCCUUGUGGAGGGAGCCGUCGAAGGUGGGAUCGGUAAUUAGGACUAAGUCGUAACAAGGUAGCCGUACCGGAAGGUGCGGCUGGAUCACCUCCUUUCUA
rnacentral:rRNA from 1 species